rfam:Citrus sinensis cultivar Ridge Pineapple sweet orange scaffold00001_contig_115, whole genome shotgun sequence.
CUACUGCUGUGAUGAUUUAUGAAUGAAUUCACAUGUCAGACUUCAGAGAUUUUUUUGAAAAAAUCUAUGAGAAUGGAUAUUCGUAAUUCUGAGCAGUUA